CGUAGUUUCGCUCUUGUUGCCCAGGCUGGAGUGCAAUGGCACGAUCUCGGCUCACAGCAACCUCCACCUCCCGGGUUCAAGCCAUUCUCCUGCCUCAGCCUCUGGAGUAGCUCAGGCUGGUCUCGAACUCCCGACCUCAGGUAUCUGCCUGCCUCGGCCUCCCAAAGUGCUGGGAUUACAGGCAUGAGCCACCACGCCUCCAACCACUGUUUUCUGUAGGCUCCACAGAUUUCAAGCAACAAAUAAAAAUGCCUUUAACCCUUGCUGUCCCCACAUUUAAACAUAUAGUUUUUUUCUACUCCAUGUUAGCCUUUGAGAGAAUCACUGUCUCUUAGAAUUUUUGAUUCUGGUCACAAACUC
rnacentral:lncRNA from 1 species